GGUUUGGUUGGAAUAAUGAGUGCGAUAUUGAUGCAGAGUUUGCCGUUGCAAAUCUAUAAUCAAAGAGGCUCACGAUGUUCCCUCAGCAAAAUUGGGGAACAUCUAACAGAUGACCUAAAGUUCUCUCCUUUAUCACCUGUUAUGUUACCAAAAGUUACCCGCACUGUAAAAUUUCAAUUAUCAAUUCUUUGCCUAAUAUGAUCUUUCACCAAAUUCUUGAUUUUCCUUUGUAUUUCAUAAAAAAGGCUUCAACCUAACCGGUUUUGCAUUUUCUGGAGGAGUAUCAUGAGUCUCUUUGAUGCUUGGUGCAUCAGCUUCUUCACGUGGUUUCCGGGCAUCAUGAUUUGAGCACCAUUAUAAAUUUUCAGAUCGUACUUUGAUUGACAUAGGCUCUCGAGGAACUUCCAUUUCAACUUCUGCAAAUGAAUGAUCUUUCUCAAGAAUGUAAGGGUGCUAGUGUUUGAAUAAGUGUUUGUAGCAUCAAGUCAAAGAGAUAUUCAUUAAAAAUCAAACAAGCAGCUCUUUUGUAUUUUCGGAAUUAUGAUGGGAGUGAAAAACAGAAUGUCCAGAUUGGUUUCUGAUUAUCUUCACUCGUGAAUAAAAAUUAAUUGCUGCUAGGGUUUUGUUGUCAGUCAGAUCGAGCAGCAAGGAGUCAAAACGCUUCGUAGUUGAAUUUGGUUCGUAAGAUGAUAGGGUUGUGACUGUGUGUGAGGGAUGGUUGAGGUUGAUUAAAGUUGGCAUUGACAAGUUGAAGGCUGAUGGAGCAGAUUUAGAAGUGUAAUCUUAUAUACUCAAUCCCUCCAAAUAGUGAGGGAUAGCGGAGAUAAUUUGUUCUUGAGGCGGGUUAAUUGGUCCUUUCAAUCGUUCAGUGAUGCCUUGUGAAUGUAGGCUGAAUUGUUCUGCUCGGCGUCUUCUUUGAUUAAAAUAGCGUCGAUUUAUUGACUCAGCUGAAUCUGUUGGCUCUCUGUGUGCUUGCUCUUGAUUGUUUGAAAUCUGUACUACUCAAAGUUCGGAAAAUCUUCAAAAGUUUUAGUGA